AGAUUGAACGCUGGCGGCAUGCCUAACACAUGCAAGUCGAACGGGAGUAGCAAUACUCUAGUGGCGGACGGGUGAGGAAUACGUAGGAAUUUGCCCUUAAGUGGGGGAUAACCCGGGGAAACCCGGAUUAAUACCGCAUGACCUCGAAAGAGCAAAGUGGGGGAUCGCAAGACCUCACGCUUUUGGAGAAG
rnacentral:rRNA from 1 species